rnacentral:rRNA from 1 species
UUUAAAUUGAGAGUUUGAUCCUGGCUCAGGACGAACGCUGGCGGCGUGCCUAACACAUGCAAGUCGAGCGAUG